rnacentral:misc_RNA from 1 species
GGAAGUAAAAGUUGUAACAAGGUUUCCGUAGGUGAACCUGCGGAAGGAUCAUUACCGAGUGAGGGCCCUCUGGGUCCAACCUCCCACCCGUGUUUAUCGUACCUUGUUGCUUCGGCGGGCCCGCCUCACGGCCGCCGGGGGGCACCCGCCCCCGGGCCCGCGCCCGCCGAAGACACCAUUGAACGCUGUCUGAAGAUUGCAGUCUGAGCAUCUUAGCUAAAUCAGUUAAAACUUUCAACAACGGAUCUCUUGGUUCCG